GACGAACGCUGGCGGCGUGCCUAAUACAUGCAAGUCGAGCGAAGCGGCGGUUGGGUGAGUAACGCGUGGGUAACCUGCCCUUAAGUCUGGGCUACCAUUUGGAAACAGAUGCUAAUAGCGGAUACUUAUGGAUGGACCUGCGAGGCAGUAGCUCGUUGGCAAGGUAACGGCUUACCAAGGGGAUGAUGCAUAGCCGAGUUGAGAGACUGAUCGGCCACAUGGGGACUGAGACACGGCCCAAACUCCUACGGGAGGCAGCAGUAGGGAAUCUGCCACAAUGGACGAAAGUCUGAUGGAGCAACGCAGCGUGAGUGAAGAAGGUUUUCGGAUCGUAAAGCUCUGUUGUUGGUUAAGCGGUAAUCAACCAGAAAGUCACGGCUAACUACGUGCCAGCAGCCGCGGUAAUAC
rnacentral:rRNA from 1 species